rnacentral:rRNA from 1 species
UACGUAGGGGCCUAGCGUUGUCCGGAUUUAUUGGGCGUAAAGGGCGCGUAGGUGGCGUCGCAAGUCGAUGGUGAAAGCUCGGCGCUCAACGCCCGAGUCGGCCCUUGAUACUGCGAGGCUGGAGCACUGUAGAGGCUAAUGGAAUUCCGGGUGUAGCGGUGGAAUGCGUAGAGAUCCGGAAGAACACCGGUGGCGAAGGCGGUUAGCUGGGGCAGUUGCUGGACACUUGAGGCGCGACA